GGGUUGUGAGGUUAAGCGACUAAGCGUACACGGUGGAUGCCCUGGCAGUCAGAGGCGAUGAAGGACGUGCUAAUCUGCGAAAAGCGUCGGUAAGGUGAUAUGAACCGUUAUAACCGGCGAUGUCCGAAUGGGGAAACCCAGUGCAAUUCGUUGCACUAUCGUUAACUGAAUACAUAGGUUAACGAGGCGAACCGGGGGAACUGAAACAUCUAAGUACCCCGAGGAAAAGAAAUCAACCGAGAUUCCCCCAGUAGCGGCGAGCGAACGGGGAGCAGCCCAGAGUCUGAAUCAGCUUGUGUGUUAGUGGAACGGUCUGGAAAGUCCGACGGUACAGGGUGAUAGUCCCGUACACCAAAAUGCACAGGUUGUGAACUCGAAGAGUAGGGCGGGACACGUGGUAUCCUGUCUGAAUAUGGGGGGACCAUCCUCCAAGGCUAAAUACUCCUGACUGACCGAUAGUGAACCAGUACCGUGAGGGAAAGGCGAAAAGAACCCCGGCGAGGGGAGUGAAAAAGAACCUGAAACCGUGUACGUACAAGCAGUGGGAGCACCUUUAUGGUGUGACUGCGUACCUUUUGUAUAAUGGGUCAGCGACUUAUAUUCUGUAGCAAGGUUAACCGUAUAGGGGAGCCGCAGGGAAACCGAGUCUUAACUGGGCGUUAAGUUGCAGGGUAUAGACCCGAAACCCGGUGAUCUAGCCAUGGGCAGGUUGAAGGUUGGGUAACACUAACUGGAGGACCGAACCGACUAAUGUUGAAAAAUUAGCGGAUGACUUGUGGCUGGGGGUGAAAGGCCAAUCAAACCGGGAGAUAGCUGGUUCUCCCCGAAAGCUAUUUAGGUAGCGCCUCGUGAACUCAUCUUCGGGGGUAGAGCACUGUUUCGGCUAGGGGGUCAUCCCGACUUACCAACCCGAUGCAAACUACGAAUACCGAAGAAUGUUAUCACGGGAGACACACGGCGGGUGCUAACGUCCGUCGUGAAGAGGGAAACAACCCAGACCGCCAGCUAAGGUCCCAAAGUCAUGGUUAAGUGGGAAACGAUGUGGGAAGGCACAGACAGCCAGGAUGUUGGCUUAGAAGCAGCCAUCAUUUAAAGAAAGCGUAAUAGCUCACUGGUCGAGUCGGCCUGCGCGGAAGAUGUAACGGGGCUAAACCAUGCACCGAAGCUGCGGCAGCGACACGAUGUGUUGUUGGGUAGGGGAGCGUUCUGUAAGCCUGCGAAGGUGACCUGUGAGGGUUGCUGGAGGUAUCAGAAGUGCGAAUGCUGACAUAAGUAACGAUAAAGCGGGUGAAAAGCCCGCUCGCCGGAAGACCAAGGGUUCCUGUCCAACGUUAAUCGGGGCAGGGUGAGUCGACCCCUAAGGCGAGGCCGAAAGGCGUAGUCGAUGGGAAACAGGUUAAUAUUCCUGUACUUGGUGUUACUGCGAAGGGGGGACGGAGAAGGCUAUGUUAGCCGGGCGACGGUUGUCCCGGUUUAAGCAUGUAGGCUGGUUAUCCAGGCAAAUCCGGAUAAUCAAGGCUGAGGUGUGAUGACGAGGUACUACGGUGCUGAAGUAACAAAUGCCCUGCUUCCAGGAAAAGCCUCUAAGCAUCAGGUAACAUCAAAUCGUACCCCAAACCGACACAGGUGGUCAGGUAGAGAAUACCAAGGCGCUUGAGAGAACUCGGGUGAAGGAACUAGGCAAAAUGGUGCCGUAACUUCGGGAGAAGGCACGCUGGUGUGUAGGUGAAGUCCCUGCGGAUGGAGCUGAGACCAGUCGAAGAUACCAGCUGGCUGCAACUGUUUAUUAAAAACACAGCACUGUGCAAACACGAAAGUGGACGUAUACGGUGUGACGCCUGCCCGGUGCCGGAAGGUUAAUUGAUGGGGUUAUCCGUAAGGAGAAGCUCUUGAUCGAAGCCCCGGUAAACGGCGGCCGUAACUAUAACGGUCCUAAGGUAGCGAAAUUCCUUGUCGGGUAAGUUCCGACCUGCACGAAUGGCGUAAUGAUGGCCAGGCUGUCUCCACCCGAGACUCAGUGAAAUUGAACUCGCUGUGAAGAUGCAGUGUACCCGCGGCAAGACGGAAAGACCCCGUGAACCUUUACUAUAGCUUGACACUGAACAUUGAGCCUUGAUGUGUAGGAUAGGUGGGAGGCUUUGAAGCGUGGACGCCAGUCUGCGUGGAGCCAACCUUGAAAUACCACCCUUUAAUGUUUGAUGUUCUAACGUGGGCCCCUAAUCGGGGUUGCGGACAGUGUCUGGUGGGUAGUUUGACUGGGGCGGUCUCCUCCCAAAGCGUAACGGAGGAGCACGAAGGUUAGCUAAUCCUGGUCGGACAUCAGGAGGUUAGUGCAAUGGCAUAAGCUAGCUUGACUGCGAGCGUGACGGCGCGAGCAGGUGCGAAAGCAGGUCAUAGUGAUCCGGUGGUUCUGAAUGGAAGGGCCAUCGCUCAACGGAUAAAAGGUACUCCGGGGAUAACAGGCUGAUACCGCCCAAGAGUUCAUAUCGACGGCGGUGUUUGGCACCUCGAUGUCGGCUCAUCACAUCCUGGGGCUGAAGUAGGUCCCAAGGGUAUGGCUGUUCGCCAUUUAAAGUGGUACGCGAGCUGGGUUUAGAACGUCGUGAGACAGUUCGGUCCCUAUCUGCCGUGGGCGCUGGAGAAUUGAGGGGGGCUGCUCCUAGUACGAGAGGACCGGAGUGGACGCAUCACUGGUGUUCGGGUUGUCAUGCCAAUGGCACUGCCCGGUAGCUAAAUGCGGAAGAGAUAAGUGCUGAAAGCAUCUAAGCACGAAACUUGCCCCGAGAUGAGUUCUCCCUGAGACUAUAAGUCUCCUGAAGGAACGUUGAAGACGACGACGUUGAUAGGCCGGGUGUGUAAGCGCAGCGAUGCGUUGAGCUAACCGGUACUAAUGAACCGUGAGGCUUAACCUUACAACGCCGAAG
rnacentral:rRNA from 1 species